rnacentral:precursor_RNA from 10 species
UUCAAAUAAGAAUUGAAAUUUGCUGCAUUUCCUUGUCACACAUUCGUCACAGUGACAUUCAAACACUGGACGGAAGUCUGAUAAGGGAUUUCUAAGCGAACUUCUUCAUGAUGUCAAG